ACGGGAGGCAGCAGUGGGGAAUAUUGGACAAUGGGGGAAACCCUGAUCCAGCGACGCCGCGUGAGUGAAGAAGUAUUUCGGUAUGUAAAGCUCUAUCAGCAAGGAAGAAAAUGACGGUACUUGACUAAGAAGCCCCGGCUAACUACGUGCCAGCAGCCGCGGUAAUACGUAGGGGGCAAGCGUUAUCCGGAUUUACUGGGUGUAAAGGGAGCGUAGACGGCAUAGCAAGUCUGAAGUGAAAUGCAUGGGCUCAACCCAUGAACUGCUUUGGAAACUGUUAAGCUAGAGUGCAGGAGAGGUAAGUGGAAUUCCUAGUGUAGCGGUGAAAUGCGUAGAUAUUAGGAGGAACACCAGUGGCGAAGGCGGCUUACUGGACCGUAACUGACGUUGAGGCUCGAAAGCGUGGGGAGCAAACAGGAUUAGAUACCCUGGUA
rnacentral:rRNA from 1 species